AACGAACGCUGGCGGCAUGCCUAACACAUGCAAGUCGAACGAGACCUUCGGGUCUAGUGGCGCACGGGUGCGUAACGCGUGGGAACCUGCCCUUAGGUUCGGAAUAACUCCCCGAAAGGGGUGCUAAUACCGGAUAAUGUCUUCGGACCAAAGAUUUAUCGCCUUUGGAUGGGCCCGCGUUGGAUUAGCUAGUUGGUAGUGUAAAAGCCUACCAAGGCGACGAUCCAUAGCUGGUCUGAGAGGAUGAUCAGCCACACUGGGACUGAGACACGGCACAGACUCCUACGGGAGGCAGCAGUGGGGAAUAUUGGACAAUGGGCGAAAGACUGAUCAAGCAAUGCCGCGUGAGUGAUGAAGGCCUUAGGGUUGUAAAGCUCUUUUACCCGGGAUGAUAAUGACAGUACCGGGAGAAUAAGCUCCGGCUAACUCCGUG
rnacentral:rRNA from 1 species